UGCGUAGGCGGAAUAUUAAGUCAGUGGUGAAAUCCUGCGGCUCAACCGUAGAACUGCCAUUGAUACUGAUAUUCUUGAAUAUAGUUGAGGUAAGCGGAAUGUGUAAUGUAGCGGUGAAAUGCUUAGAUAUUACACAGAACACCGAUUGCGAAGGCAGCUUACUAAACUAUGAUUGACGCUGAGGCACGAAAGCGUGGGGAGCGAACAGGAUUAGAUACCCUGGUAGUCC
rnacentral:rRNA from 1 species